UGGAGGAAUGUGAGAUAUGAUUAUGCAGCAACAUCCCACAAAUCUGCCAUUGGGUGGCCAAUUGUGAAGAUAGAGUAAGACUUCUAGGAACAGGGGCAACAGAAUUGUACUCUGGGCAGUAAUGAAUUCAUGAAACCUGAUAAAUGCAACAUUAUUUGUUUUGGACACACUCAAGUCUAGGCCACGAAACUCUUCUCAUAUUGGGAAUCAGGGCUAUUUACAGUCAGGACUAUAUCCCUUGACUGGGGAAUUUAUGGCCUAUCUAGGCCAUAAAAUAAGAAAAGAUUAUGAUGAAAGUUAUCAUAGGGUAACACAAGUAAAUACCACCAAGGAUAUUAAAACUUCUGCCAACAAACAAACUCAGCAAUAGUGUCAGUAUCUUUCACAAAACAGAGCUGAAGUCCAAUCUAAAAUAAUUGACAUGGUUUUGUUGUGUCCCCACCCAAAUCUCAUCUUGAAUUGUAACUCCCACAAUUUCCAUGUGUCGUGGGAGGAACCUGGUGGGAGGUAAUUGAAUUAUGGGGGCGGGUCUUUCCCAUGUUGGUCUCAUGAGAAUGAAUAAGUCUCAUGAGAUCUGAUAGUUUUAAAAAACGGGAGUUUCCCUGCACAAGCUCUCUUGUCUCCCGCUAUGUGAGACAUGCCUUUUACCUUGCGGCAUGAUUGUAAGGCCUCCCCAGCCACGUGGA
rnacentral:lncRNA from 10 species